CCUACGGGAGGCAGCAGUGGGGAAUUUUGGGCAACGGGGGCAACCAUGAUCCAGCAAUGCCGCGUGAGUGAAGAAGGCCUUGGGGUUGGAAAGAUGUUUUUCAGGGAAGAACCGGUGGGAGUGAAUAAGUUGUAAUAAUGACGUACGUGAGAUAGCACGUGC
rnacentral:rRNA from 1 species